rnacentral:snRNA from 1 species
AGCUCCAUACAAUGGCAGUAUUGUAGCUACCAAAGGUUUAUCUGAAGCACAAUUAUUGAUAAUUGAAAAGAAUUUUAGUGUAAUGUAACAGUAAUGGUACCCUACUCCAGUACUCUUGCCUGGAAACUCCCAUGGAUGGAG